UCUCCACGCAACGCGCGCGCAUCCACCUGGGCGCGCCGGCCCGCGCAGCUCGCGGGCGCGGGGACCUGAAGCCACAUGUCGGUAUGCCUGCUAGCGAGUCAGGUCAGUUAUCUUCGGAAUACGGCAGAGCACUGCUGACGGUCCGUGCUGCGACUCACUGUGGGGCUGGCCAAAGGCUCCAGACACCCAAGACUAUCGGAUCCACCGAGUCCUGUGGCCCAGAUGGCCGAGAGCUUACGUGGCAGCCUGGGCCUCCUGCAGCUCCUCCUUUUGCUCUGGGUUACUCAGAAGGGACUGGACACAGCCACUUGCUUGGCACUUAGGAAGGGGUGUCUCCUGGGCCCCUAGACAUUUCAGAUGUGGAAAGCCUUGGACUUUUUGUGGAAUGUAUUUUUCACUGGGCCUACCGAGGAUAAUUGCCGCUUUCUGCUCAUCAAUUCGGUCAACGUGAUGUCACCAAUGUAAUGGUGUGAGGUCCAGUGGAGAGGAACAGUGACCCAGUCCCCAUGGACUUGCUUCGGUAAUAAAACCAAGUCAGCAACAGCAGCUGCAGUUGGAGUCACCACCUGGUCAUGCUCAGUCUGUUGUCAUUGUCCGAGACCCCCGCCUUCAGCAUCAGCUGGAUCGGAAGGGCAAACAGGGGUGUGAUGGGGAUUACCACCCCUGCACCUUUCAGGUCCUUGUUGGUGGUACUGGUCUCUGCACUCCCUCCAGAGAUGCCUUACUGCUCUUGCUUUACUAUUUUCCCAGGUAGGAGCGGUUCUGGGGUUCCACCUGGCCUUUCCCACCGUUCCAUGGGACCCCCAUUCCAGGGACCAGGAAACCAAGAUGGGAUUCUGCUAACUGCCAAUCAUGCAUUCUGCAACAGGGUACUAACCACUGGACCUCACCCAGGACCCCACAUGACAUUCAGUCGUCAUGUCUCCCGAGGCCCCUCUGGGCUGUGACAGCUUCUCAGACUUUCUGUUUUUGAUGACCUUGACAGCUUGGAGGAGGACCAGUCAGGUUUGCUCCCUGUGUUGCUGAGUUCUAUGGAUACUGACCAAUCUACCAUUACGGUAUCAUACAGAGCAGUGUCAACACCAUCUACACCCCAUGCUCCACCCAUUCAUCCCAUCCACCUCCCUCUGUGCCCCUGGAAACACUGAUCUGUUUACUGUCUCCUUACUUUUCCCUUUUCCAGAAUGUCAAAUAGUUGGAAUCAUACACUAUGUAGCCUUUUCCAACUGGAUUCUUUCACUUGGCAAUAUGCAUUUAUGGUUCAUCCAUGUCUUUUUGUGGAUUGAUAACUAUUUUUAUUUUUAAAAAUUUUUAAAGAUUUAUUUAU